UACGGAGGGGGCUAGGGUUGUUCGGAAUUACUGGGCGUAAAGCGCGCGUAGGCGGAUCUGCAAGUCGGGGGUGAAAUCCCGAGGCUCAACCUCGGAACUGCCUUCGAUACUGCGGGUCUCGAGUCCGGGAGAGGUGAGUGGAAUUCCUAGUGUAGAGGUGAAAUUCGUAGAUAUUAGGAAGAACACCAGUGGCGAAGGCGGCUCACUGGCCCGGUACUGACGCUGAGGCGCGAAAGCGUGGGGAGCAAACAGG
rnacentral:rRNA from 1 species